rnacentral:rRNA from 1 species
CAGUAGCCGCGGUAAUGCGUAGGGUGCGAGCGUUAAUCGGAAUUACUGGGCGUAAAGCGUGCGCAGGCGGCUAUGCAAGACAGAUGUGAAAUCCCCGGUCUCAACCUGGGAACUGCAUUUGUGACUGCAUGGCUAGAGUACGGUAGAGGGGGAUGAAAUUCCGCGUGUAGCAGUGAAAUGCGUAGAUAUGCGGAGGAACACCGAUGGCGAAGGCAAUCCCCUGGACCUGUACUGACGCUCAUGCACGAAAGCGUGGGGAGCAAACAGGAUUAGAUACCCCCGUAGUCCCUGUCUCUUAUAC